UGGCACAUAAUCAGGUUUAGGUAGAACAGCUGUAAACUUUGUGUUUGAUCUCUUUUCCGUGGGAUUUUGGGUAUUGAUGUGUGGGGAUAUCUCCUAGCUCUCUAGUAAACACUUGUCGAUGUCCUCCCAUUGUGUCAUAAGUCCCUGAGGCCGAUAUCCGUCUCUGCAGCCACAGAUGCUACUGCUUUUUCCGGAAUCCACUGUUCGAAGUUGAAGACCAACGGCUGCAAGACUUGUUCAAGCAUCCUCUUUUGUAUAGUGUUUCAAGUGCUGCCCCAGAUGGACAUCUGUAAUCUCAGACAGCGAUUCCCUAGGACGAAGGAGAGCCUUUGCCUCACCUGGACAGCUCAGGUUGAUGCGACAGAAUUGGAGCGGCCUAACAAACGACAGGAAAAAUCAUUACAGUCCUCUCAUCUUUGCCAAAAGACGUGGCGUUUCAGCAGCCAAAGCCAAGAGGCUUCAGCACCAGGGGUCUGCGCUGGAGGGCUCCUGGUCCUGCCCGUACUGUGGGGUUUGCAGUUUAUUAUGAGGGUGUGGGUGUAAGAAAGAGUGUGGAGCAUGGAGAGUAAGAGAUAAGGGGGUGAGAGAGAGAGAUUAGAAAUCGGAGGUAAGAGGUAAGAGAGAGCAAUUUUCCAUUCACAAUACAAUAAGUAUUCUUCUAUAAUGAAUAUUCUAAUUUUCCAAUAACCAAUCUAAUACAAUAUACUAAUUUCCUCAUAUUUGCACGCAAUCUAUAGAAACUACCAAAUUACUAUGUUUUAUGGCUUUCUUAUCUGUAACCCUUAUCUUUAGACCUUUGCUGCCAGGCUUAGGACAAAAUGUCUGUUAGUUCUUUGGUAUUUGUGGCAUUUAGUAUUGUCUAAACAAAGAAGGCUCAAACCUCAACCUGACUGUUUUCAGCAUCUAUAUAAAAAUAGGCUAACAUCUCAAUUUCAUCUGUUGUUUCAGAACUACUUGCUAGGCACUUA